rnacentral:rRNA from 1 species
CCUACGGGAGGCAGCAGUGAGGAAUAUUGGUCAAUGGGCGGGAGCCUGAACCAGCCAAGUCGCGUGAGGGAAGACGGUCCUAUGGAUUGUAAACCUCUUUAGGCGGGGAGCAAUGCCAGGCUCGUGUGCCCGGAGGGAGAGUCCCCGCAGAAUAAGCAUCGGCUAACUCCGUGCCAGCAGCCGCGGUAAUACUGAGGAUGCGAGCGUUAUCCGGAUUUUUUGGGUUUAAAGGGUGCGUAGGCGGAUUUUUAAGUCAGCGGUAAAAUGUCCGGGCUCAACCCGGGCCGGCCGUUGAAACUGGGGAUCUUGAGUUGGCGAGAGGUAUGCGGAAUGCGUGGUGUAGCGGUGAAAUGCUUAGAUAUUACGCAGAACUCCGAUUGCGAAGGCAGCAUACCGGCGCCCGACUGACGCUGAGGCACGAAAGCGUGGGUAUCGAACAGGAUUAGAUACCCCUGUAGUC